rnacentral:rRNA from 1 species
AUUGAACGCUGGCGGCAGGCCUAACACAUGCAAGUCGAGCGGUUGAGGUAGCUUGCUACCGAUGCAGCGGCGAACGGGUGAGUAAUACAUGGGAAUCUGCCUGGUAGUGGGGGACAACGGUUCGAAAGGAACGCUAAUACCGCAUACGCCCUACGGGGGAAAGGGGGGGAUCGCAAGACCUCUCGCUAUCAGAUGAGCCCAUGUCAGAUUAGCUAGUUGGUGAGGUAAAGGCUCACCAAGGCGACGAUCUGUAACUGGUCUGAGAGGAUGAUCAGUCACACUGGAACUGAGACACGGUCCAGACUCCUACGGGAGGCAGCAGUGGGGAAUAUUGGACAAUGGGGGCAACCCUGAUCCAGCCAUGCCGCGUGUGUGAAGAAGGCCUUAGGGUUGUAAAGCACUUUCAGUGGGGAGAAAGGUGAUUCACCUAAUACGUGAGUCAAUUGAUGCUACCCACAGAAGAAGCACCGGCUAACUCCGUGCCAGCAGCCGCAGUAA